AUUGAACGCUGGCGGCAUGCCUUACACAUGCAAGUCGAACGGUAGCACGGGGGCAACCCUGGUGGCGAGUGGCGAACGGGUGAGUAAUGCAUCGGAACGUGCCCAGUAGUGGGGGAUAACCAGUCGAAAGACUGGCUAAUACCGCAUACGACCCAAGGGUGAAAGCGGGGGACCGUAAGGCCUCGCGCUAUUGGAGCGUCCGAUGUCUGAUUAGCUGGUUGGCGGGGUAAGAGCCCACCAAGGCGACGAUCAGUAGCUGGUCUGAGAGGACGACCAGCCACACUGGGAUGGAGCCACGGACCAGACUCCUACGGGAGGCAGCAGUGGGGAAUUGUGGACAAUGGGCGCAAGCCUGAUCCAGCCAUGCCGCGUGCGGGAAGAAGGCCUUCGGGUUGUAAACCGCUUUUGGCAGGAACGAAACGGCGCAGGCCAAUACCUUGCGCUAAUGACGGUACCUGCAGAAUAAGCACCGGCUAACUACGUGCCAGCAGCCGCGGUAAAAC
rnacentral:rRNA from 1 species